CCUCCCUCUCUCUGCAGCCUCAUGUCCGGGCCUCUGCACUUCGGUGGUUAAAGGCACCUCAUCGCUCACCUGGCCCCACACGGCUCCCGGCUGAGCAGCACCUAAAAGACUUGCAACACCUUUGGGUCAUGACUUCGAACUAGCCAGGCGGGGAAGCCGACUGACCGCCUGGGCCAGGUCCGGAUCCAUCAGAGUAGCCUCAAGGCCCGCUGUCCUGGUGGGUUAGCUGUGUUCUGAACGGCUAGAAUGGUUGGAGAGCGUAUCUGGCUGGGGAUCAGCAGAUCCGGCUAGCUCACCCGGACGCACAUCACACCCAGCCUGGCCUGCAAGGAAUUCAUCUCAGUGAAGAACAAAAGGUCAGCACCGGCAGGCAGCAAGAGGGCUCACGGGCCCCGGGGCCCGGCUCUCCACAGCUAAUUUACUGCGUCCUGGGCUGGCGAUGGGGAGGGGUCUGCUGGCAGCAAGCGAGGGUCCCCCAGAGCCAGCACUCAUCAGUGCCCCUGCCCAGCGGCCCUCCCUGCCCCUCCUGCCGUGGGGCUGUGCUCUUUGCCUGCCCCCCACACACGGUGCCGGUGGGCACCGCCGCUGUUUUCUAAAGGCGGCUUCCUCCUUCGUCUGGAGCCGGGGGCUUGACCCACGCCAGGCCAGUCAGAGCCCCUUCCUACACCAGUGCUCGGCGGGCAGAGACAGGAUGCAGCCUGGUUUCUCUCUGCACGAGGCCACUAGGAGGCCGGUGUGGAGCAGGUCUCGGUGGAGCCCCCGAUCCAGUGCGUUCCGGGGACUCUGGGCUGCUGCUCCGUGAAUGGUUCGGUUAUACAAGCCGGUAAGUUCCCUGCCCCUGUGGGGAUGGCCACGGGGCGCGGCACGCAGGGGCGCCUCGGGGAGUCUCCGGGUGGCAACAGCUGCCGAAGGCUGGGGAGGGAAGCCGUGUGGGGCGAAGGGGAAGCUGCACCACCACGAGGCCACGAGGACAGACUUGGGAAUCUCCCCGGGGUGCGGGAGUGCCAGGGCGGGCCUUCUGAGUCAGGGGGCAGGAGGGCGGGUCUCCGUCCCCCCCGGAGGACCCAUCCCUGGAUGUGGGCCUGGGAAGGGCAUGGCCCUGGGCAAGGUGGCCCUCCAGUCCCCCGGGGGCCGCCAGGGGCACUCCUAGAAUUUUGGGUGGUGAUUUAUUCACCUGUGAACGGGAACCGGGUGGCGCCUCGGAGCAUCCAUAUGCCAUAUGGAUGUCUGUCCAUAUCCGGAUGUCCCCUUUUCCCUAAACGGCUUCGAAUCCCAUUUUGGUUACAAAAGGAGUCCUGACCCUGUGGGGGGAAGGUUGUUCCUUCCGGUGAGAGGAGUCAGUCCAGCUUUCACGGAAGAGCAUCGGGUGCUCACAAGGACAGGAAGCACCCCCACGAGCGAGGAGAGAAACGCUGAGUUGUGGGAAGGGGCAGAGGCAGCCUGAGCUCACGUGAUUCCAGCCUGGCUUGAACGAGGAGGCUGUCCUGCAGAGCCCGGAACGCGGUCACAGCCUGUUUCAGACCCUGUGGCCCAACCUUCUCCUUUUAAGACACGAAGAAAACCAAGACCCAGAACGAGUAGGGUUUGUGACAUCUAGGACAGCGCCGUGAAUCGGUUUCCUAGGGCUGCCUUAACAAGGGACCCCAAACUAGACACGUGUUCUCUCGCAAUUUGGAGGCCAGAGUCCGAAAUCAAGGUGUCAGAGCCACCUCGGGGCUUCCAAAGGCUCAGGGGAGAAACUGUCCCUCCAGCCUUCCAGGGAAGCUGCCCAUUCCAGCUUCCAGGGACUCCCGCAUUCACAGGCGUGGGGCUGUGACCCUCCUGUCUCUGCCUCCCUGGUCACAUGGCCUCUCCCUCAGCUUUCCUCCCAUAAGGACCCUCCAUCCUAAAUCAGGAUGAUCACAUCUCAAAAAUCCAUAAUCAUACCUACAAAGACCUUUUUGCAAAUAAGUUCACGUUCACAGGUUCCGGGGACAUGGGGCUUUUGUGCGGGCACCAUUUAACCCCUUGCAUGUUCCUUGAGGGGAAAUCCUGUGUCCUGCCACGAAUCAGUACUUUGCCAAAGAGGUACAGCUUACUCCUUAUUUGGUGCAUGCACGAGUGUCCCCAAACUGCUUUCCGCCUUCUGUCUUCAUAAAGUUUUCGAAUAUUGAAAUAUGACCUAACAAAUAAUAAUAAUGAAGCUGAAUUACAGGAUGUCUUGGAACUAUUCGAGAUGUAGAUUUAUAUGUACAGAAAUGAAACAACUUGUAGAAUCUAUUGUUUUGUUUAUUUUUAAUUUUUUUAUAUGAGAGAGAGAGGGAGAAACAGCAUGAGCAGGGGGCAGGGAGAGGGAGAAGCAGGCUUCCCACCGAGCAAGGAGCCCAAGGCAGGACUCGAUCCCAGGACCCUGAGAUCCUGACCUGACCUGACACUCUACCGACUGAGCCACCCAGUCGCCCCUAGAACGUGUUGUUGAGUGCAGAGAGGAAGGAACAGAAAAAGUGCGUUGCCAUCUGUGUUACCGAAUGUGUGUGCACAUGUGCACGUGUGCACGGACAGUUUCUGGAAUGAGCAUAAGAAAUUUAACAGAGAGACUGGAGGUCUGUGCAUGGAGCUCGUGUAUUUUCCACGUUGUACCCUUAAAUAUCACUUGACUACUUUGUCCCAGCUACGUGUGUCACUUUAAAAUCAGACAUUAAGUAAUAGAGAUAGAUGAUCUUGGCUCUUUUUUCAUGUUGGCUUUUUAAGGGCAAAAUGUGCAGCGCCUGUUUGCUGACAGCGUAGAAAUGUCAGGCUCAGAGGUCAUGAGUCCCCAUCACAGCAUCUCCGUCCUGCCGACCGGGCAAAGCCACGGUCACUUAAGAAGGAACUUCGGAGCCAGACGUCCCCACGGACCCGCAUCCCGCAUCCCAGGGCACUGUCACUCUGCACGUGGCCCCCAUGCACCGGGGGUGGAAACGACUGUGUCACGCCGCCUCUCCCGGCCCUGGUUUGGCGAAGUGUCAAGGUGGCACACGAGAAGAAAGAUCUGAGAGAGGGAGAAGGUAGGCCCGAGAAAUCGAGGAGCAGGAGAAGAGGGGGCGUGGGAAAUACCUGACGGUAGAGAGCAGAGGAGGUUCAGAGCAAAGUAGGCCGCCAGCAGGCCUGUCCCGAGGCCCUCACCACGGCUCCCGCCCAGGGGCUGCUGCUUCAGAGCUGGGGAGGAAGAGAGAGUCCUAGGAAAACAGGAGUGCUGUCCAGUUCUCGCCCUGAGGACCAGGCGGCUCCUGCGGGAAGCACACGGGGGUGAGCCAGGCUCACUGUCAGCUAUCAGCUUUGUGGCUCUGAAGGCAGAGGGCUGGAGCUGGAAGAAAUUCUCUGGGUUUACAUCUUUUUUUAAGAUUUUAUUUCUUGAUUUGAAAAAGAGAGAGAGCACAGGCAGCGGGAGGGACAGAGGGAGAGAGAGAAGCAGACUCCCCACUGAGCAGGGAGCCUGACGUGGGGCUCGAUCCCAGGACCCUGGGAUCAUGAUCUGAGCUGAAGGCAGAGGCUUCACCAACUGAGCCCCCCAGGAGCCCCUCUGGGUCUUCAUUUAAAUCUUCACAGCAUAAAGCAAGGCUUAAGUAAAACACACAAUUUUGGCUGGAUUCCACGGAAGAGAAAUUUAAUUCCCUGAGAGAUGACGGUUAAGGGUACAAGCUGUGUAAAGUUCCUCAGCCAGAGAGUCCCUCACCCAUAAAAUCCAUACAACGGGGCGAUGAAGGCCUCUGAGGUGUUUUCCAGUCCAUCCUAGAAUCCGGCAGCUCUAGAGGCUGUGAAGACGGGUGGAGGGGAACCGGCACCAGCGAGUCUCUCGACGAGAGGCUCAGGAGACCCACCACCUUCUGACAAAGGAAAAUCCAAACGGGAACAUGAGCAUCCGUUCCCCUGAACGGAGGGUGGCAAGAACCGAUUGGCUCCAGCCUCGCUCUGAUGCAGACAGGUUGCUUCCACUUCCACAGAAGAGGAGGGUCCCCUUGUUCCCAGAUGCUCCCCUGAGUAGCCAGGUGUGUGCCUGUGGCCUUAAGGAGCCCGAGGUGUCUGUGAGGCGGGCCCAGAGCGCCCGAGGCACCUCAGGCGCUUUGUCCCUGGGUUCUCACCUCCGACCAUGGGGCGUCCUUUUAUUCUCUCAAAGUGAAAAUGCUCCGUGUUGUUUUCUUAAAAUGAGAUUCUAUCCCAGAACAUUUCUUUAAAACUUUUAGCUGCUUUUUUGUUUGUUUGUUUGUUGAAGUAAUUACUAUACCCACCAUGGGGCUCGAACUCACCACCCUGAAAUCAAAGAUCACAUGCUGUACUGACGGAGCCAGCCAGGAGCCCCCUUUUGGUUGUUUUUCUUUAAAUGUACCCUGUUUUUUUCAUUUAAAAAAAAAUAUUUUAAAAAUCUUUUAA